GGUAGCGCCGCACCGCCCCUCGGGCCGCGGGCGGGGCGGGCUGGCGCAGCGGCCGGAGCCGGGGCGGCGGCGCUGCUGCUGCUGCUGCCGGGCGGCGGCUGGCCGUGCGGCAGGAUGGUGUUUGAGUCCCUGGUCGUGGACGUCCUGAACCGUUUCCUUGGCGACUACGUGGUGAACCUGGACAGCUCCCAGCUGAAGCUGGGCAUCUGGGGAGGAGCUGUAGCACUGAAAAAUCUGGAAAUAAAAGAAAAUGCACUGAGUCAGCUGGAUGUGCCAUUUAAAGUUAAAGCAGGACAUAUUAGUCAACUUAACCUACAGAUUCCAUGGCAAAACCUUUAUACUCAACCUGUUGAGGCAGUCCUUGAUGGAGUUUAUUUGCUUAUUGUGCCCACAGCCAGCAUAAAAUAUGAUGCUGAAAAAGAAGCCAGGCAGCUCUUGGAAGCAAGACAAAGGGAAUUGCAGAGAAUAGAAGAAGCAAAGCAGAAGAUAGCUGACAAAGAUAAAGUAAAAGAAGAGAAACAAGACACUUUUGUAGAAAAGCUAGUAACUCAGGUCAUCAAAAAUCUUCAGCUGAAGAUUUCUAACAUCCAUAUUCGCUAUGAAGAUGAUAUCACAAAUCGUGACAACCCCUUGUCAUUUGGGAUUUCACUUCAGAAUCUAAGUUUGCAGACCUCAGAUAAGAAUUGGAAUCCAUGCUUACAUGAUGAAACUGCCAAGUUGUUCCACAAGCUUGUGCGACUGGAUAACCUUUUCGCUUAUUGGAAUGUGAAAUCAGAGAUGUUCUACCAUGGUGGUUGGGAUGAAUCAUUGGUUAACUUAAAACAUGGAGUUGCCAGCCACAACAUGAUUCCAGACGGUUAUGAUUUUGUAUUCCGCCCAAUUUCAGCUAAAGCCAAGCUCCUUAUGAAUCCUCGAUCUGAUGUUGACUUUUCAUCACCGAAAAUAGAUCUGGAUGUAAACUUACAGGAUAUAACUGUUGAAUUCAAUAAGCCACAGUACUUCAGUGUUAUGGAACUUCUUGAGUCUGUUGAUAUGAUGACUCGAAAUCUGCCAUAUAGGAAGUACAGACCUGAUAUUCCAGUGCACGGCAACCCCAGGAGAUGGUGGCAAUAUGCUAUUGGUGGCAUCCUUGGAGUAAAUGUUCAACCUAAGCUCCAAAUGUGGUCUUGGGAACAUAUUUCACAUCAUAGGAAGCAAGUGAAGAGCUAUAAAGAGUUGUAUAAAACAAAGAUAACAUCAAAAAAACCUAGUGAAGAAAUCUUAAAAUUGUUGGAGGAAUUUGAAAAGUCCUUGGAUAUUUUUAAUAUCACUUUAGCAAGGCAACAAGCAGAAGUUGAGGCAACUAAGGCUGGAUUGAAAAUCUACAGGCCAGGAGUAAAACAAGAUGCUGAAAAUUCUGGUGGCUGGUUUAGCUGGAUAUGGAGCUGGUCGGGUCAAAAAAGUGAUGAACAAAAACAAGAAGUAAAGGGUUCAAGUCUUGAACAACUGAUGACACAGGAAGAGAAGGCUAAACUUUAUGCAGCAAUUGGAUAUAGUGAAACAGCUGUGGAUCCAACCCUUCCAAAAUCAUAUGAAGCCAUGAAGUUCUCUGUGAACUUAUUAAGCAUGUCGAUAUCAAUAAGAGAAAACCACCAAACUCCUAAGCUAAUAGAAUUUUCAUUAGCUGACUUGAGUACAAUAUUUACCCAGCGACCAGGUGCACAAGCAAUAAGGUUUGAAACAAAAAUUACCUCUCUUGAAGUUACAGGAGUGUCUCAAGAAAAGUGUACACCCCGUCUCCUGUCUUCUCGAACAGUCUAUUCAGAUGACAGUACCUCACUUCUAAGCAUAAUGUUUGAGACUAACCCUUUGGAUGAGAAAGCAGAUCAGAGGAUUAGAAUAGAAUCACAACCACUAGAAAUAGUAUAUGAUGCAAUGACAGUAAAUAAUUUAGUGGAUUUCUUCAGACCUCCAAAAGAUGUGCAUUUAGAGCAAUUGACAUCAGCAACUCUGAUGAAACUUGAAGAAUUCCGUGAAAAAACAUCAACAGGUUUGUUGUAUAUUAUUGAAACCCAGAAAGUUCUUGACCUCAAAAUAAACCUCAUGGCUUCAUACAUCAUUGUUCCACAAAAGGGAUUCUAUGAUCAUACAUCGAAUUUGCUGCUUCUGGAUCUUGGUAGUUUUAAAAUGACAAGCAAACGGCGUUCUGAUUUAUCAGAAAUCAAAGUAGGACAAACCUCUAUUGAAGAUAUAAUGUCCAGAGCUUAUGACAGUUUUGAUGUCCAGCUCAGCAGCAUGCAGUUACUGUACAGCAAACAUGAUGAGAACUGGCGAGAAGCUCGGAAGCUGAAAAACUCAUCUCAGUGUAUCUUGCAGCCCUUGGAUGUAAAACUGGAAUUUAGCAGGGCUAUGGUUGUUACAGAUGCAAGAAUGCCCAGGUUCAAACUGUCAGGACAGUUGCCUUUGCUUUCUAUCCAAAUAUCAGACCAGAAGGUGACAAGUAUCUUGGAACUAAUUGAUAGCAUUCCUACACCAGAAAGUGCACCUGCUACCAGUUCUCCUCCAAAAGUGACCGAGGCUACAGUGUCCCCUGUGCUUGCAGGGCCACGUUUAUCUCAAGGCGUGUGUCCUGUUUUGGAUCUUCACUCAUUUGCUGAGUCAGAAUCAGAAGAAGAAUUUUAUGAUGCUCUAAGCAGUCCUGUGGAAGAUGUGCCAUUUUUUGAAGUCUCAUCUGAUUCCCUCAAGCAGGCUGUCAGUACAAGGCGAAACAACCUACAAAAACAAGAAUCUCUGAAAAAUAUGACAGAUUUCCAGCUAAAGUUUGAAGUAGCUGAGGUCUUAAUUAAAUUAUGCCGUCUUACUGGUGAUACUGAGAUGCCUGUGCUCCAGCUUGAUAUUUUGGGCUUAGGUACUGAACUUAAAAUGAGAACAUUUGACAUGACUGGGAGUGCUUUCCUUCGUGAAGUUGGUCUUCUGUGCCCAGAGUAUAUUGAUGAUAAUGGCAAGCCAGUUUACAUAAUUACUACAUUGGAUAAUGUAGAAGAUGAUCUUCUCACUCUGGAGUAUACAAAGACUGAUAUUAAGGGACCAGAACUGAAAACUGUCUGUCAGAAUGUUCUACAGAAAAUAAAGGUGAACUUUUCUUCUCUAGAUGUUCAUUUGCAUACUGAAGCUCUGCUGAAUGCUAUGAACUAUCUGAACAAUCUUCUGCCUAAACAAGGACCUAAAGUUGUGGAAGAACCAGUCCAUGAGAAAACAGAGGAGAAGAAGGAUGUUCUCAAAAAAUUAACAUCAAAAAAAUCGAAGUGUGAAGAUGUUAUUGACCUCAUUAUCUGUGCGGAUUUAUCAUGUUUGCGUAUUUUUAUCAGAGAGAAAAACCAUAGAAUAGCUGAAAUUCACAUUGAAGGUCUGGACAGCCAAGUGAUCAUGAAGAAAGCAGCAACUAAUGUGACUGCAAAAUUGAAGAACAUCAGUAUUGUGGAUUCUGAUGAGAAAGCAUUAUAUAAAAAGGCUCUUUACAUCACAGAAAAAGAAGUCUUCAACUUCAGAAUGGUAUCAUAUGUAAAUGCUACAGAUGGCAUUGCAUAUACAAAUAUGGAUGUUGUUGACAAUCGUAUUUACCUAACUGUUGGGUGUAUUCAAGUAGUUUUUGUCAACAAGUUUGUUUCAUCUGUUUUGGCUUUUGUAAAUAACUUUCAAGCUGCCAAGGAAGCCCUUACUGAGGCAACUGUUCGAACAGCAGAGAAAGCAGCUACAGGUGUAAAAGAGUUAGCAGAGCGUAGUUCCCGUUUGGCGCUGGAUAUCAAUAUCAAGGCACCUGUUGUGAUAAUUCCACAGUCAGCAAUGUCUGCAAAUGUCCUGGUGGCUGAUCUUGGUCUAAUCACUGUGAAGAACCAAUUCGUUAUUGCUAAAACAAAAACAUGGUGUAGUCUUCCACCUGUUAUUGACUCUAUGACAGUGAAAUUGAGUGAACUGAAGUUAUACAGAUCUUAUUAUGAGCAAGAUUCUUUGCAAACUGAAGUACAGUUGCUGCAGCCAGUCAAUCUGGAAGUAGCUGUUGAAAGAAAUUUAGCUGCUGCAUGGUAUAAUGAAGUUCCUGAUAUUGAAAUAUCUGGCCGACUUAAGCCUAUGAAUCUCAUUCUCAGUCAGGAAGAUAUUACCACAAUACUGAGGACACUAAAUGAAAAUGCAGGUGAAAGCUCUGGUGCAUCAGCAGCUUUACCAGAAUCUAAAGCAUCAACUAGUCAUUCUAGUGAAAUGCAAGGUACUUCUCAGCACUCUGCAGGUGUAACUGUCGUGACAUCAGCUGUGGUGGAAUUGCAUUCACCUAUGAAAAUAAAAACAACACUAAAACUGGACUUCAAAUUUGACUCUCUCACUUUAGUCUUAUAUAGUCCAAAUUCAAAACAGGUUAACAGUUUGGAUCAGAGAGAUGACCUUUUGAAGCUUGCAGAGUUUAAAUUAGGUCUUAUGUCAGCUGCUGUGAAAAUGUUAUCAGAUGGUUCAAUGAAUGCUUCAGUCAAACUGGCAAACUGUACAUUAGAUGAUAAAAGACAGUCGAUCCAGAAGGCUACACCAAGAAUGGUGGAAAUGAAACAUGGAUUUGAAAAGAAAUUUAUGGUGGAUGUAAACUACAAACAUGGGAGAGAUGGCACUGUUCUUGAUGUUAUUGUUCAAGAGAUAUACCUUUGUGCAAGCAUGGAGUUUCUACUUACUGUAGCAGAUAUAUUUCUAAAGGCUAAUGCAGAAAGUGCUGCUGCACAGAGAAAUCUCAAACAGUCAUUACCUGUAAAGGACCAAGCAUCUGUGCAGCCUGUAUCUACAAUGGAAAUGAACAUUGUUGUUAAAAAUCCAGAGAUUGUGUUUGUGGCUGAUUUAACAAGAAGUGAUGCUCCUGCAUUGGUGGUUACAACACAGUGUGAGGUCUUCAUUAAAAAUAGCCCUGAAAGGUACAACAUGACAGCUGCUGUUAGAGAAAUGCAGAUGAAAGCAUGCCCAUUUCUUCCAGAAGAAAGGAAAGGGAACAUUACUACGGUAUUGCAACCUUGUGACUUCUUCUUUGAAAUGAGACAGUCAGGUACUAAUCCACAGACAGCUGAUCUAACCAUUAAAUCUCUAACAAUAGAAGUUUCACCAAUAAUCAUAAACACAGUAAUUACUAUUACAUCAGCCCUUUAUCAAACUACAGAAACAACAAAAGAAGAGAUUAGUCAAAUUCCUCCUGACUUGUGGAAUAAGAAAGAUAUAAAAGAUCUGAAAAUGUGGUUUCUUGAAGAGACUAAUGAAAAUGAAGAUAAAAAUCCAAACACUGAACUGGUUCCCACAGGAGAGUCAUUGAAAAUUAAUAUAGAAUCUGUUUUUAUAACACUUGAAGCUGGGGUUGGGCACAGAACAGUGCCAAUGCUUUUAGCCAAGUCCUCAUUUGUUGGAGAAGUCAAGAACUGGAGUACUUUAAUCAACCUAAAUUCUCGUCUUGAGCUAGAGGUACAUUAUUUUAAUGAGAUGUUUGGCGUGUGGGAACCUUUGCUUGAACCAUUAGAAGUUGAGAAAACUGACUUAUUUAAGCCAUGGACUCUUGAAAUCAAGAUGAAGAAGGCUAAAAAAGCACUGUUUGAAUCAGAUGAGGAGGAAGAGGAGAACUACAAAGUUCCAGAAUAUAAAACAGUAAUAAAUGUUUCCUCAAAAGACCAGCUUAACAUUACACUGUCCAAGCUAGGACUGCAAAUGCUGAGUAACUUGGGCACGGCAUUUGCUGAAGCAGCUAGUCAAACUUCAGACAUCUUCAAAAAAGAUCGAGCACCAUUUGUAAUAAUAAAUUCUUUAGGAGUUCCCAUCACGGUCUCGCCUAGUGACUCCUUUAGUGUCCUUAAUGUUGAAUUUCGUGCAAAAAUAUUUCAUUUAGAAGACAAAGCAAGUUUAAAUAUGGAUUUUGUCAGAAGUAGAAAUGAGAGUGACCAGUUCACAGCAAUGACAACACUGAGUAGCAAGAGAUUUUACAUUCAGAUAUGUCCUCAUAAUCAUUCUGCUGUGGAAAAGAUUCCUUUGACUAAAGUGGGUCGAUGUAUUUACAAAGUGAGACACAAGGAAUCAGGUGUUGAAAGGUCCAUCGUCAGUCAAAUUGACACUGUUGAAGGAAGCAAGAUGAUAACUAUACGUUCCCCUAUUCAGAUAAGAAAUCACUUUGCAAUCCCGUUAAAUGUUUUUGAAGAAGGAAGAUGUUUAGGGACUGCUUCACCAGCAAAUGAAUUCAACAUCCCCUUUUCCUCUUACAGAUCCAUGCUGAGUUUCCAACCGCUAGCCAAUGAAAAUGGAGUGGGUGCAGAAUAUGAUGUGUGUGAAGGAAUUACUUUUGAUGAAAUUAUGAAAAAUGUUGACAGUUUGAUACAAAGGAAAUGCCAAUCUGUGAGGUCAACUAACCACUCACUUAUCAUCAAUAUUGUUCCUGUAAAAGAUGCAUUGACAACUUCAUUAGAUGGAGAAGAUGAAUGGGAUUUUCCAUAUGUUGUUCAUUUAUGGCCUUCUGUUCUUCUCCGCAAUCUUCUUCCUUACCAAAUAACUUAUUCUGUAGAGGGAAAUGGGAACAAAUAUGACACUCUGCAAGAAGGAUGUUCUGCCCAGAUUCAUAAUGCAGUCUUGGACCAAACAAAACUAGAUUUGCAGUUGCUUAACUAUCUUGAUCAAGACUGGAGAAGCGAGUACCACAUAAAAAGCAAUCUGCCUGAUAUCACCUUCACAACAUUUCACUGCAUCACAGAGCUGGAUAAGACUGAGCUGGAUAUUGCUGUUCACGUGACCUACACAACUGGGCAGAUGAUCAUAGAAGUUCACAGUCCCUACUGGAUGGUGAAUAAAACCGGUCGAAUGCUACAAUACAAAGCGGAUGGUAUUCACCGCAAGCAUCCUCCAGAUUACAAAAAGCCCCUCCUUUUUUCUUUCCAGCCUAAAAACUUCCUUCAAAAUAACAAGGUGCAGCUUCGGGUAACUGACAGUGAGCUGUCUGAUCCGUUUUCACUGGACACUGUUGGAAGUCAUGGUUCUGUGAGAUGUAAGAGUCAUAAAAAGGAAUAUCAAGUUGGUGUCACCAUAAACAACAGCAGUUUCAAUAUUACUAGAAUUGUAACCUUCACUCCAUUUUUUAUGAUUUCAAAUAGAAGUAAAUAUACUUUGGAAGUAGCUGAAGAGGGCAAGGAAAAGUGGAUUCCCAUUGUUUUGCAACAGUGGUGUGAGAAACAAUGGGAAAGGGAACUUAGUGGCAUGUGCAUUCCCUUUUGGCCUGAAAAUGAUGCCAACAAACUGCUUGUUAGAGUUGAAAAUUCUGAUCUCCCUCCAAAGAAGAUAAAUUUUGAUCAGCAAGAAAACUGUCUUUUACUGCAUUUAGACAAUAAGCUUGGAGGAAUUGCAGUGGAUGUUAAUCUGACUGAACAUUCUACGGUGAUUACCUUUUCUAAUUACCAUGAUGGUGCAGCUCCAUUUCUGUUGAUAAACCAUACCAAAGAGGAGAUUAUUGAGUAUGGACAAAGCUCCCUCAGUGAAUUGGAAGACUGCCUUCAGCCAAAUAAGGCAGUAUUGUAUACCUGGGCAGAUCCAACAGGAUCUAAGAAAUUAAAAUGGAGAUGUGGAAAUAGAACUGAGGAAAUUGCCGCAAAAGAGGACAAAAUGGAAGUACUCAGUGUGGAUUCUAGAAAAGUGGUCUAUUUAAUGUCGUUUUAUGAAGGUUUGCAGCGUAUUGUCCUGUUCACUGAAGAUGAGAAUGUAUUUAAAUUGACAUAUGAAAGUGUAAAAGCAGAACUAGCAGAACAAGAAAUUAUUCUGUCUUUGCAAGAUGUUGGAAUUUCAUUGGUUAAUAAUUAUACAAAACAAGAGGUGUCCUACAUUGGAAUUACAAGUUCUGAUGUGGUGUGGGAGACAAAACCCAAGAAGAAGUCAAGAUGGAGACCAAUGAGUGUUAAGCAAAUUGAUAAAUUAGAACAAGAAUUCAGAGAUUACAGUGAGCUAAGUCCUUCAGAAAAUAAGAUUAUUGAGUUGGAAUCAAAUGUUUUGGUCUGUUUAACACCUAAUGGAAUGAACAUGACAAUUCAACAGCCAAAUGAGAUUCCUAUCAGAAGAAACUAUCUGCCAGCUUUAAAAGUGGAAUACAGUUCCUCUGCACAUCAGAAGUCUUUCAGAAUUCAGAUUUACAGGAUACAAAUACAAAACCAGAUUCCUGGAGCCAUAUUUCCCUUUGUGUUCUAUCCUAUUAAACCUCCAAAGUCCAUCACCUUGGAUUCAGCACCAAAACCAUUUACUGAUGUCAGUAUUGUCAUGAGAACUGCAGGACACUCACAAAUAUCUCAUAUUAAAUAUUUCAAGGUUCUGAUUCAGGAGAUGGAUCUCAGAUUAGAUCUUGGCUUCCUGUAUGCAGUUGGUGAAUUCUUUACACAGACUGAUGUGCCGAGUGACCAAGAGCUACAACUUUUUGAAAAGGAUGUUGAAUCUCUUCAAGAAGAACUAAUGAGUGUUUCAUCAAUGGAUACGUCACAAAUCAGCUUGUAUGAAUACUUCCAUAUCUCUCCAAUUAAGUUACACUUGAGCUUUUCACUCAGUACGGGUGGAGAAGAUAGUAACAAAGAAGAAGGAAAGAAUGAAUUGAUACCAUUUAAGUCCUUGAAUCUCCUGCUGAAGAGUAUAGGGGCCACCCUUACAGAUGUACAAGAUAUUGUCUUUAAGCUGGCAUUCUUUGAGCUCAGAUAUCACUUCUGUACUACACAGCAGCUCCAAUCAUCAGUUGUAAGGCAUUAUUCAAAACAGGCUAUUAAACAGAUGUAUAUCCUUAUUCUUGGCCUUGAUGUGUUGGGUAAUCCAUUUGGAUUCAUAAGAGGCUUGUCUGAAGGAGUAGAAGCUUUUUUCUAUGAACCAUACCAGGGAGCCAUCCAGGGUCCUGAGGAAUUUAUAGAAGGAAUGGCACUAGGACUUAAAGCACUGGUAGGGGGAGCUGUUGGUGGAUUAGCAGGAGCUGCCUCAAGAAUCACAGGUGCUAUGGCAAAAGGAGUAGCUGCAAUAACUAUGGAUGAAGAUUACCAGCAAAAAAGGAGAGAAGCCAUGAAUAAACAACCCACUGGUCUGAGAGAGGGUAUCACUCGUGGUGGAAAAGGACUUGUUUCUGGUUUUGUCAGUGGCAUAACAGGAAUAGUUACAAAACCAAUAAGAGGAGCUCAGGAAGAAGGAGCAGCUGGUUUUUUCAAAGGCGUUGGAAAAGGCUUAGUUGGAGCAGUAGCUAGGCCCACUGGUGGAAUCAUAGAUAUGGCAAGCAGCACAUUUCAGGGUAUUAAAAAGGUUGCAGAUUCAUCAGAAGAUGUGAUAAGCCUGCGACCACCUCGCUUCUUUGGUGAAGAUGGAGUUAUUAGACCUUACAGAUUAAGAGAUGGAACUGGAAGUCAAAUGUUACAGAAAAUUGAAAAUGGAAGAUUUGCAAAACUCAGAUAUAUUGCACAUGCUAUGGUCAACAGUACAGAUCUGUUAAUGGUAACAAAAAGUGGUGUGUUAUUUGUGACAAAAGGGGCAUUUGGACAGCUGACAUGUGAAUGGCAAUACACUUAUGAUGAAUUUACCAAAGAACCAUUCAUCGUUGAUGGUCGAAGAUUGCGCAUUGAAGCCAAGAGAGCAUGAAAGGCAGAGCCAUAUUGGUUUGGAAUCCUCCAAACUGGAUUUCUGAAUGCAAGUGAACUUUUAAAGGAUGAAAUAAUUCUUAGCGUUUCUGCCAUUUCAGACAAUGCUGAAUAACAUAUCCAUCUUUACCCCUACACAGCAGUCAUUUCAGAAUUCAUUAACAUGUCUGCAGUAUGCUCUUUAUUGAAAUCUAUGGUUGAAAACCGUGUUUUGCAAAUAACUCCUUGCAUUUUUCUUUCUGAAGCUUAUGUUUCUGUUUUCAGUACCUAUGUCCGCUACUUGCAAGUCAGUAUUGGUGGAAUGUCCACUCAAGUAGUGACUUGAAGGAGAAUUACAAAUUAAAACCUUGGGGAGUAAUGGAUUUUGUUACCACAUGCAAAUUAUCUGCCUUCCAUUCCUACACAUGUUUUAUACACCCUUAUACAGGGACUCCAUGGUAAAAAGGGGAGUCUAUACUGCUGGACUGUUCACCCUACUGUGCUUUCAUGCAGAAAAUGAUCUCUCUCAGGGUAUGUGCAUGUGAUGCAAACAUACUCAGAUGAUUGGUACACGUGGCUGUUUGAACCAUUAUAGCUGCCUUGAUAGUAAAUAGCAUUGUAAUCUUAAAGUCUGAAGUAACUAACUUCAAUUUUGAAUUACUGUUUCGUUUUUUGGUUUUUUUUUUUUUAGGAACGAGUUAAGUCUGUCUUCCAUGCCAAAGAAUUUGGAAAAAUUAUUAAUUUUAGAAGUCCAGAGGAUGCUAAGUGGAUCCUUUCCAAACUAGAAGAAGUACGUGAGAAUCAGCCAAAAUUGUAAUGAAUGGAGAAGCACCAAGAUGAAGAACACUCAACAGAUGCCUUUUAAUUCCUCUUUCACAAGCAGAACUGUUUGAAUGUCAUCAACAAAAGCAAAAACAGGAAGGAGGGAAGAUUCAUCCAAUUAUUUAUUAUGGUCACAACAGUCUAUAUCAGAAAAGUAGAUGAUAUUAGAUUAAAAUUUACAUAAUCAUAAAAAAAUCUGCCAAGUUUUGUCUUGGUUUGCUUGAUUUUUUAAUGUAAGAAUUUCAGAAUUCAUUUUUUAUAUAAGCAGUAUUAUACUGCUUAUUAUGUACUAUAUAUAUAAGUGAGUUUGUCUUAACCUUUGAUACUGAAAUUGAACUCUGGAAUAAUUCUUAUGAUAUUAUUUGGAGCAAAUCUUGCAGUUUUGAUUUGAUUGUGAUAGUCAGUAGUUACUUUAUGUUUUGGUUUUAAUGUGACUUGAGGCUGUGUUGAAAUACAAAUUUCUCUGUCAAAGAAAUGUUAACAUAAUCACUAGUUUUACAAUUCAAAAUAUAAGAAGGAAUCAGAGAAUUUCAAUUUAAGUAAUGGGUGGCUGCUUAGUUGACAAUACUAGGGCUUUUUCUAAAUGAAUGGACCAGGUCACAGUUUAUAGUACAGUAUUGCUUUUAGUGUAAACUUUUUUUAUAUCCUACUCAAGGAAAUGUUGCAGCACCUCUGUCAAUUAUUGUAGAAAAUUUAACAGUUUACAAAAAUGCAUAUUGGGGAGAAUUAAUUCUGCACUAAAAAUAUUAAUAAAAGCCUAUUAUUUGUUAGCAAGAGUUAGUAACAGUCUUGCAACUCAAGAAGGAGUUUAUGGGGUUAUAAGUGCACUGUUGCAUACCAAAUAUAAAUGCCUUGAAUUACACAAUAUUGUGUGCUAAGUGAAAGACUAGUGGAGUCAAAUUUAUAUUAAAUAAUAAAUAUAAUAUGUCACAGUUGCUUUUAUUAACUUUUCUUACCCAAUGAAACUUCUUUGUUUCAUACCCAGACAGCAGCAUUUUAUUAGCUUGAAUGUCUGCAAUUCUGUUUAUUUCUUAGAUGUAGUAGUCAUGGUAUUGUUGAAUGGCUGUUUACUGCAGUUGAUACAAAAACUACAUGAAACAAUACAGUGUUACAUGAAGGUUUCCAUAAAUUCCCAUAGCAAAGUCUUCAAAAUUUCUUAUACAUAUAGAAAGCACCUACUGCCAAAAUAUGAUUUUCAAACAAUAGUUUGGAAUAUUUAUAGCUACAGGAUAGAAUUCUAACAUUGCUGGUGAUGCUUGAAGUAUCCAAAUUGUGCUGUUAUUUUAAAUCUAAAACAACUAGCAUAUAACCUAUAUUUGCAGAUAUUUAAUUUGCUGUAAGUCUUGCCAGUGCUGUUGAGUAACCAUUUAGCAGAUUACAAAAUACAGGUAAUCUUGCAAUUUUCCCCAUAAACUGUAAAUGAAAUCAAAAUAUUAUAAGGGGAUUCAAAACUAUUACAUUGAUGGUAUUACUCCAAUAAUUUUGUAUACCAAGUACAUACCAAGAGUAUUAACUCAGGUUAUAUAAUGCCAAACUUCCAUCCUUUGCCUUAGAUAAGUAGUGGUUUUAGGUGCACUGUAGCAGCCACACAACACCUGCAUUUUUAGUGCACUGAGUACCAUUCUUUAUCUGUCUCUUGUUUUUCAUCUGUCAUUUCUGUCUUAGGCAUGAUAGUUCAUUUAAUAGCCUCAUAAUGUUCUUGGUAAAGUGUGUGGUCUCCUCUGUGUCCCCAGAAUUUACAGACUACCUGCUGUAAAUUUCACUUAAAAUGCAUCGUGUGUGUACUUUGUACAUUCCCAUUUGUGUAUACCUUUUCCAUUUACCUGAUUCUAAAUAUGUUCUCUCCACAGAGCCUCUAUUUUAAUUAUUUCUUGAAUUCAUUUUGCCAAAAAACUGAUUCUCAAAUCUCAGUUGGCUCUUUGGUAGUAUUUAAGCAAAUUAACCCUUAAUGUUGAAGGAUUUCUAUUAAAGGUGCAUAUUUUUGCGGUUAAGCAGCUGAUGUUUUGGAUAACAUAACAAUUCCCCCAGAAUGGCAUUUUUAUUAUAGACAAUAAAAUAUUUUGAUCUUCUAGCUAAAGGCCUUAAGACAGGAUCCACAAGUCAAUGUGGGACAUCUCUUCCAUGUCCCUUGGUUUCCACAUGUAAUGAAAAUAUGCUUUUCUAUAGAUCUCUUUCCUAGUCCAUAAUUUUUGUCUUUUGACUUUGUUUUUUUAAUAAAGCUUUCUCCAUAUAGUCAUGAAAGAAUUUUACCAUUUCUUGGCAAAUGCCAGUUUUCUCCUUUAACUAUGUGUUACCCCAGGGUGAAGAGAAAGGUAUUUAGACUUGUGCUUGUGCCAUUUUUCCUGAUUACUGCAGGUUGUAUGAGAUGUCUACUCUGCUGUGCCUCAUUUCUUAUUGCAAUAUGCAUAUUUUUUUCAACAAGAAGGCUGAAUAGGUAUGUUAAUUUUUAUUGAAAGUGUAUAUGCAACUAGAAAAGGGGAUCUCGAUAAACGUUAAAAUGUAGGCGUUUGGAUCUGCCCACUGUGGUGUUUAAAAGUGUAUCUUGACCUUUACUGAAAUGCUGAAGAACUGCUCCUCUUCUAUAUGACUGUUAUGUAAACUUACAACAUUUGAGAAAUAUCAUUUGGGUUCUCAGUUUGCUAAGUGUUACAAUUACCUCUAAGAAAUUGCUGAAACAUUCGCAAGUCUGAUUGUUGCACUUCCUUUUUGUUCAGCUGCAUGGCUUCAUGGCAUGGCUCUCUUGGUUUCCAACCUACCCUGCCCCCCCUUCUUAAUCUUGAAUAAAGUGAAACUGAAUUUUA